UUUAAACCCUAGCUGUCAACACUGUCUUUUUUCAUCUUCUUGUGAGGUUUUUUCUAGACAAAUCUAAAACGCAGGUUUAAUUCGAUCCAAGGCAGCACAACGGCGGCAGCACAACGUCAUCAAUCACAAUUCAAUUUAUUCUUCCUAAUCGGUUUCUUCUCUGUUUUCUUCCCUUUGGAAACCCUAAAAUCUAUAGCCAUUUUAUUAUUCAUUCGAAUUCAACAUGUACGUUCAAUCUUUCUACGGGCUUGGGUGCUUUUGAUCCAGAGUUUAGGGUUUAUCUUUUCCCUUUAUUAUUUCAGUAUGUUGAUCUGAUUAUGUUUGAUCUUGAUUUUGAUUAUGAAUUGAUUUGGAUUCGUGUCUUUCAUUCUACGAUUGUCGCUGAAGGUUUUGUGGCUACAAAUCAGAUACAUGACCACAAUUUUUCCGAGAAUGAAUUUUUUUGUCGGAAUAGGGAUGUGUUGGGAGGAUGGUGUGAUUCAGGCAGCGUUUUUAUAGCCGAUGUAGUCUAAAGAUGAAGCCCAGGCCACCGAAGAGAAAUCGAAGAAAGAGGCGAUCAAAAGUUCUUCUGGUGCAUUGAAGGAUACUAUUAUGUGAUUUGCAUGGCAAACUGAUCAAUGGCUCGCCUCGACUCAUGCGAUUAAUAACACUAAUAGGGUUCAUGUUUCUUCAUCGUUUUUUAUUUUAUUAUUUGUUUUGAGUUACACCAGAUUGCUUUUAACUCUGCUGUGUAGGCGGAGAGAUAUAGUUGGGAGAAGUGAUGUCGUCUCAGACGAAGGAGCGACGCACCUUAGUUGGUAUGUUCCCAUGUGAGAUACUGAGUAGUGAGAAGUUUCAUCUUGCAUCGUAGUCUCCGUAUUCAAUAUCUCCCACAUUGAUUAGAUUACAUAUGCAGUUGACAAUCUGUUUUCAUGGUGAUGUUUUUUUAGAAGAAUGCUUAAUCGGAAUUCGUAUCGAUCAAUCUCUAGCUUUCACAAAACAUUUAAUUUAGUAAUUGUGAUUCAAGUGAUGCAAUAUAAUUAUCGAAACUUAUAAAUUGGGUUGUUUGUUUUGUUAUCGUGCGAUCGGCAGCAGCUGUUCAACCACACACAACUCGGGCAUUCACUCCUCUUCAUGGAUCAGCUUCUGAAAAUCCUUUCAAGGGCAUAUUCACCACUCUCCCUCGGCCCGGAGGAGGCGAGUUCGGAAAGUUUUACAGUCUUCCUGCUCUAAAUGAUCCCAGGAUUGACAAGCUCCCUUACUCCAUCAGGAUAUUCUUCUGGAGUCUGCCAUUCGCAACUUCGCAACUGUGAUAAUUUUCAAGUUACCCCGAAUGAUGUUGAAAAGAUCAUUGACUGGGAAAAUACUUCACCGAAGCAAGUGGAGAUUCCGUUCAAACCUGCUCGUGUUCUCUUACAGGAUUUUACUGGAGUUCCAGCUGUAGUUGACCUUGCUUGUAUGCGAGAUGCUAUGAACAAGCUCGGCGGUGACUCUAAGAAGAUCAAUCCACUGGUGCAUGUAGACCUUGUGAUUGACCAUUCAGUUUAACUUGAUGUUGCAAGAAGCGCAAAUGCUAUUCAAGCAAACAUGAACCUUGAAUUUCAGCGCAACUAUCAGCGGUUUGCUUUUUUGAAAUGGGGGUCACAUGCUUUCGACAACAUGCUUGUAGUUCCUCCUGGUUCUCGUAUAGUUCACCAGGUCAACUUAGAGUAUCUUGGACGCGUUGUUUUCAAUACUGAUGGAAUUCUAUAUCCCGACAGUGUUGGCGGAACCGAUUCCCACACAACCAUGAUUGACGGGUUUGGAGUAGCUGGUUGGGGAGUUGGAGGAAUUGAAGCAGAGGCAACAAUGCUUGGACAGGUAUAUAAUAUAAUUGUAUAAGUGAUUUGAAAUUAACCAAUUAUAUGGUUUUUUAAAGUUGCAGUACAACUAUUUUAACUGGAUGCUUCUUUUUCAUAUUGACAACCGAUGAGCAUGGUUUUACCUGGUGUAGUUGGAUUCAAGUUCUCUGUAAAGUUGCAAAAUGGUGUUACAGCCACUGAUUUGGUGUUAACCGUGACUCAGAUGCUAAGAAAGCAUGGUGUUGUUGGCAAAUUCGUUGAGUUCUAUGGUGAAGGCAUGAGCGGACUGUCAUUGGCUGAUAGAGCGACUAUUGCAAAUAUGUCACCCGAGUAUGGUGCAACCAUGGGUUUCUUCCCAGUAGAUCAUGUUAAACUGCAGGCAGACGUUGAUUGGAGGAAACUAUGGUUUGCUUAAUACUACAACUUUUGAGCCAAAUCCGGAUUACUACGGCGCUCUACUUUGGCAUCGUUUGAUGGGUCAAAAAGUUCUUUCUGUAAACUUUAACGGGACAAACAAAACACGAUCGUAUGCGCAUUGCGCCAAAGAAUCUGUAAGCUUCCUAUAGUAUUUGAAUACUGUAGUUUUUCUAUUCUUAUUUUUGAAACAAAAAAUUAGGGG